rnacentral:lncRNA from 1 species
GACUAUCAGUGAGGUAAUACAGGUCUUCUAACUAAAUUAUUUAAUGUGUGCUUAACACAUUUUACUUUUAGGUAUGUCUGACAGCAGCAAUGGUACUACAACUCUUGGUGCAUCCAAACCAGCCACAGAAGAAGUCAAAUCUAAUUCUGAGGACUCUGCCAUGGCUCAUGAAUCUCCCAAAAAUUCAGCAGCAGAAAUUCCAGUUACUAGUAAUGGAGAGCUUGAUGACUCUCAUGAACGAGGCUUUAAUAGGGUAAGAACAUCUUUUCUUUUAAUAUAAAGAAUCGUGAUAAGGCUUUAAAUAUUGAGAUGAAAGUAAAAGUCAAGUUUAAUAUAAGAAUAUUUUCUUAGAUUUUGUGUGUUUCCAGGGAGCUAAUGUUGAUCAUAUAGAUAGGCCAUGU